rnacentral:lncRNA from 1 species
GCAAAUGGUUAUUUAUGUUUAAUUAUAUUAACUACACUCCUUUCCUUUACAGGGACCCCUCACCAUGACCUCCCGUAUCGCCAUGGGCCCAUAAGACAUCAGGACCUACACCCCCCACCGCCAAGAGCGAUGCUUUUAGCAGCAUCUCCAGCUCCAACACAUGCAUCUGAUGCAUCUGACAGGUCAAUGGAUCGACCUGUCACAUUUAAACAGAGAGCGAUGCUUGAUGCAGCAUCUCCAGCUCCAACAUGUAGAUCUGAUGCAUCUGACCAUUCAAUGGAUCGACCUAUCACAUUCAAACAGAGAGCGAUCCUUGAUGCAGCAUCUCCAGCGCCAACAUGUGCAUCUGAUGCAUCUGACCGUUCAAUGGAUCGACCUGUCACGUUUAAACAGAGAGCGAUGCUUUUAGCAGCAUCUCCAGCUCCAACACAUGCAUCUGAUGCAUCUGACCGUUCAAUGGAUCGACCUGUCACGUUUAAACAGAGAGCAAUGCUUGAUGCUGCAUCUCCAUCUCCAACAUGUACAUCUGAUGCAUCUGACCGUUCAAUGGAUCGACCUGUCACAUUCAAACAGGGAAUGAAGCCAGAGGCAGCAUCUCCAGCUCCAACAUGUGCAUCUGAUGCAUCUGACCAUUCAAUGGAUCGACCUGUGACGUUUAAAAGAAUAAAGCUAGAAGCAGCAUCUCCAGCGCCAACAUGUGCAUCUGAUGCAUCUGACCGUUCAAUGGAUCGACCUGUGACGUUUAAAAGACCAUCACCAGCUCCUACCUCCAUUUCUAUGAGGGGACAUUUGACAAAACAACCACUUUUGUUUAACAGAGGCGAAGAUACUAUUGGCGAGUUAUCAGCCUGCCUGCUGACGGAGGACCACUUCAGAUGUCCAGUGUGUUCAGAUGUGCUGAAGGAGCCGGUCUCCA